CCAGCAUCUAUCAAGGAAACUGUUUCAGAAUAUGACCAUCAAAAAAGGGAGCCGUUGUUCCUGACAACCUUAUUAAUUGUUUUGUUCUCAGAACACAAUGUUAAGGGCUCAAACCUACUGUCAAGCAAACCUGGGUCCAACACUUUCUGUGUGAUCUUGAGCAUAUCAUUGACCACUCUAAAUCCCAGUUAUCAUGGGAUUAGUAUCCCAAUGACUGCGGACUUUGUAGACAUUUCUUUCUGAUGUUUAAUGGAGUCCAAAUAGUAGGUCUCUAUAGGAACUCCUAUUAAAAUCUCCUGUCUUUUAGAGUUCAGGCUACCCAGUGAUAUGGGCAUGAAUUAAAUGACCUUUUACAGUUUUCUUCAAAGCAGGGAUCCCUGAACACAAGACUGCCUUCCCAGCAGCUUAAGCGCAGGCCCCUCUCCCCUCAGUUCACACUGAGAGCUCUGGGCCAGGAAGGC
rnacentral:lncRNA from 1 species